rnacentral:lncRNA from 1 species
CUGCUCUGCUUGUAUUUGCGAUUCUACUAAUAUUUAGGGCUUCACUGUGCUGCUAUGGCUUAUUUCUCAUUCGAUUUCUACGUUAUUGGAGGUUUUGCAGUUGAUUUAAAGGCGAGGCUUUGAGAAUCGAAAGAUUGCUGUUACUUCAGAAGCAUUUGAGUUUUGGGCACCCGAUUUCUUCAGAGUAAACCAAAGAAACGGUCCUGCCAUCUAAUUUAAAGCGUGUAUCGACUAAGUAAGUUCCACGACUAGGUGAUUCACCUAAUUUUUUCAUUCAUGUCUAUGGAAUACGUUGUUAGGACAACCAUUCUUUCCAAACGCUGGAAAGAUCUCUGGACCUUGGUCCCCUACCUUAAUUUUCAAUCUGAAGCAUCUGAUGAGUUAGAGUUGGGUGAGUUUAGACACUUUGUUAAUAGGACUUUGAUACUUUGGAGAGGUACAAAGAUUCAGAAAUUCACAUUGUAUUUGUAUAUGUUCGAUUUUAGUGAAUCUUCAACUUGUGAUUUCAGUUUGUGGGUCCGUUUUGCACUGGAACAUAAGGUUGAAGAGUUAUACCUGGAUAAAUAAUAUGAUCUGGAAUUUCUCUUAUACUCUAGUUCAUCGAUCAGAAAAUUACACCUUCUAAACUGUGUUCUAGAAGUUCAUGGGAAGGUACAUUGGGAUCAACUCAAGAGUUUAACAAUUGAAGGUGUGAGCUUGAAUGAAUUUGUGCUUGACGAAAUGUUAUCAGGUUGCCCUAAGUUGGAAAUAUUGACAAUAAGCCAUGGCUAUCAAUUGAGUAUUCAUUCCGCUAGUUUGAAGGAGCUAUAUCUUCUUUAUGAUAAUCCCUAUGAUUAUGUUGACGUAAAUACAUUGAUGAAAAUUUGGACUCCAAAUCGAGGAAAUUUCCCUUGUAAGCGCUUGCUAAUGAGCGUCCCAUCAUUGGUUUUGCUACCUUUGAUUCUUAUACGUAUCUCGAGCAUAUAUCGGACCAAGAAAAUGAAAUGUUGAGGGAAAUUUUCCAGAGCAUUUAUCUUGUUGAGAAGUUAUUGGUAGGAGAUUGGUGCUUUGAGGUUUGGUUUCUCUUAAUAUUUUCUUUUAUAAAAUUUAUUUACAUCAUUUGCAUGUGCUUAAUUAUUAUUUGAUUCUUGGCUCUACUUUUAAUAACAGGUGCUGGCAUCAAUGGAAAAGACAGAUUUGCUUUCUUCUCUUUUAAAUUUGAAAAGUUUGACACUAGAUACUUGCCUUAAAGAAAGGUGGACUUGCUGGAUUUCUGAACCUUCUCAAAAUCUCGCCAAAUGUGGGCAUGUUAGCCAUACAUAAUAGUGCUGGCUGCUCACCUCAGGUAACAAAUGAUAAGUUAACUUCUGGUUUAUGUUGUAUUACAAAUUCUGAAAUACGAACAGAACAAUUUUCUCUACAGGAGUAACUUACUGAAUGGAAUCGGCUCGGAGAAUCUCUUAUCCCUGAAAUUGAGGAAAUAGAGUUCCCAGAUUCCUUUCUAAUGCAUCUGAGGAUAGUUAAAAUCGAAUGGUUUUAUUACGAGACCUCGAUACUUCCAUUGAUAGAGUUCGUGUUGAAACAUGCUAGCGUGCUCGAAAAGAUGGUGAUUGAGGUUAGAAUGCCUAAAUCAGUUGGACCAGAGUGUUCAGUUCUUGCGGCACAAAAACUGUUGAGAAUGCCAAGAUCCUCUCCCAUUGCUGAGGUCGUGUUUCGCUGGUGCACUUACUAAAGAAGAGUUACUUUAGUAUAUUAUUUGUGACUUUUUAUUUGAGUGUUAUAAUUUUGUAAGUUGGAACUGUCAAGUACUACUGUGUGUCAAAUGUGUCCUGAAAGCAUGCAAUGGCUGUAUGCUCUUGAUGGAGCGUCCAUCAAUUGACUUCAAAAUACAAAAAAAUGGCUGUAUGUUCUUGUUGGAG